UCCAGACUCCUACGGGAGGCAGCAGUGAGGAAUAUUGGUCAAUGGCCGUAAGGCUGAACCAGCCAAGUAGCGUGAGGGAAGACUGCCCUAUGGGUUGUAAACCUCUUUUAUGCGGGGAUAAAGGUGUCCACGUGUGGAUGUUUGCAGGUACCGCAUGAAUAAGGACCGGCUAAUUCCGUGCCAGCAGCCGCGGUAAUACGGAGGAUGCGAGCGUUAUCCGGAUUUAUUGGGUUUAAAGGGUGCGUAGGCGGAUUUUUAAGUCAGCGGUAAAAUGUCCGGGCUCAACCCGGGCCGGCCGUUGAAACUGGGGAUCUUGAGUGGGCGAGAAGUAUGCGGAAUGCGUGGUGUAGCGGUGAAAUGCAUAGAUAUCACGCAGAACUCCGAUUGCGAAGGCAGCAUACCGGCGCCCGACUGACGCUGAGGCACGAAAGCGUGGGGAUCGAACAGGAUUAGAUACCCGGGUA
rnacentral:rRNA from 1 species